UACGUAGGGUGCGAGCGUUAAUCGGAAUUACUGGGCGUAAAGCGUGCGCAGGCGGCGCGUUAAGACAGGUGUGAAAGCCCCGAGCUUAACUUGGGAAUUGCGCUUGUGACUGGCGAGCUGGAGUGUGGCAGAGGGAGGUGGAAUUCCACGUGUAGCAGUGAAAUGCGUAGAGAUGUGGAGGAACACCGAUGGCGAAGGCAGCCUCCUGGGCCAGCACUGACGCUGAGGCGCGACAGCGUGGGGAGCAAACAGG
rnacentral:rRNA from 1 species